rnacentral:lncRNA from 1 species
CACAAAUGCCAUAAAAUACGACUGCUGUAUUCUGAGUGUGGCGAUCCGGCACACUGAACUGGUCUCAGGUUGACGUCACAAUCUGAAAACAGAUAAUUUUUUAUUCUUAGACAUGAAAUCAUAAAUCUUUUAGCCAUGGUCUUAGUUGCCAUCCUCAGAAGGACAGAGUCGUGCAGAAACAAGGGGAGGCAUGUCUCAUAACCCUAUAUCAGACAAAACUAUUUAUGAGAAGUUUGUGAAUGUCAGCCAGCUCAGGUACACAGCUGCUCUUAAACACAUUAGUCUAGUCACCUGACAUACCGCAUCCUCAGGUCCCCUUCUGUCACCCAGCAGACAUGAAAACAUGUACUGUGUGGUGUCAAAUCCAAUAACACAUCUCUGCCGCAUGCCUAUAAAACUGGAAUUGUUUUUCUUAUGUUGUAAACCAAUCAGCUGUCAGAUGGUCCAGAGCGUCAAUUGGUCAAAAGUGAUCAGAAUGGUGGAGUGAGAUGCUUAGAAGGAGGGAUUUGCAUUGUUUAGGACAGCCCCCCGUCCCAAGUCAGCCAUACCCCCUUUAAUGUUUUUGCGCGCUAGAGAGACCGAGUUUAUUCUGGCAGGGUAGAGAUUGCAGCCUCACUCCUGUGAAGUACCAACUAGUGUGGAUGGAGCACGACAUCUCUCUCCGUCCCUUCCUCGCAUGCCAAGUCAGACUGACUUUAUCUCCAUUCACCGGGUCCGACUUUAUUUUGUCCUCAGCAUCUGGAGUGACUGACUGAGAGGAAAAAGGAAGAAGCAGGUUCUUCAGCCUCGGAGGAAGAGAGCGGGGCUUCCCAAAACAGUGCGUCACCAGGGACCAGUAUUGACUGCCUGGACAAGACGCCCAGAAGACAGCCACCAUGUGUGACUGUUUUCACCUGCCAUUUCCCAACUGGCAUGCAUCAGCCGCGGCACAAUAGCAUUAGGAGCUUGAACCACAGCCCUGAAACUGGGUUGUGCCAUACCUUUAGAAGUCUACAGAAAGGGCAGGGCCCUUCAUCUUCUCCACAAAAACUAACAAUUACCCACAAACAGUCCUGUCAGUGCAUGCUGUGCACUUGGUAAAUUACUAUCUGGAAAACAGUGAAACACAUAUUUCUGCAAGUAAACCACAGAUCAGGUAAGUGCAAACCUAUCAUUGUUAACCUUUAAUGUUUACCUGGCACUCUUUGCAUCAUUGUUAUUAAAAUGCAGCAACAUGUUGGACAUACAUAGCAUUUUUUUAUAUAUAUUUAAUUCAUCUAAACUAGGCUACUUUCAUAUUGACACUUGGAUUCUUUUUAGUGUUUGUACUUCAAGAUAUUUCAGUAGUAAUACUGAAUGAAAAAAACUAAUAGUUUUAAAAAGCUAAAUAAGUUAGUGCAUAGUAUAGUAUGAGGCUACUUUCAUAUUGACACUUGGAUUCUUUUUAGUGUUUGUACUUCAAGAUAUUUCAGUAGUAAUACUGAAUGAAAAAAACAAUGUUUUAAAAGCAAUAAGUUGUGCAUAGUAUAGUAUGUUUCCUGAAUAUUCAGUCACAAACUAAAACUGUUUUUACAGAGCUCACAUAUUUAAUUUGUAAUAGAAAUAUAUGAAGUAUAGGAGCCUAGAUAUGGCUGCAAAUUGGUUUAUUGAUUUUAUUUUAAAUAACUUAUGAUGGACAAUGGUCUUUCAAGAAUUAAAUGCAUUUUAUUCAGUAAUUAUUACAUAUACCAACCAACAAACAUCCUCAUUAUACCUGACAGGGGUGGGGAGCCUAAAAGCAUUUAAGAAAAAAAACUUGAAGAAAGAAAGGCCUGUUGUUUAGGCCUGUUCCAUUCACUGUGUUGGUUUUGGACAGAUAUUAUAAAGCUUUAUAGCAACUAAAAAAAAAAAAAAAACAAUCUUAAGCCUGUUUAGCUACAAUAGCAGCCAGAAAACACACCUUGUUGAAACCUGUUGAUUUGAACCACAACCUCAAACAUCAAACAUUAAAACCACAACUAUGUCAUUCUUCUGCUUGUUUAUCAUACAUGUAUAUGUUAAAACCAAAACUCUCAGUUAAUCUCAGUCAGAAACAAAGUGUUACACUCACCUCUGAUCUCUCCUAUGCAGAUCAGUUUACAUCAGGUUAUUCAAACCACUGGUUUUGUCAGCAUCCCUGAGUGAAGGAACACAGUAUGUGAUGUGUUUAAUUAACAGCUUUUCUUGCUCUUGCUUAUCAGUUGAGCUUAUUUAUUUCUGACUGUACCAUCCAGUUAUUAUCCAGGUGCUGAGUUUGAAAUUCACUCAGCGAAAGUGGUUCUAAACCCCUUUCAAGUUCAGUAUUACUUUACCUGUGGUUAAAAGCAGAGUUUAAACAGCCUAAUUGAGGUCAACAAAAAACUUGUGUAAUAUUGUUUUUAAUUUUUAGUUUGGAGGUGUGCCAUGGAAAACGUCAAUUCUGGCAUCAGCAUAAUGACAAAAUGAUAGAUGAUUGACAUAUAAAUCACCAGAAAACCACUGAGUUGAAUUGUUCUCAAACCCUUCGACAUCAACAAAAGAUAUGGGAAGAGUUUUCUACUCCCUUUAAUAAAUCUGUUUACUUUGCUUAAUAUCUUAACUGUGGAUAAUGCACAUUUAGCAUUGCUUUUUCCCAACUGUUUAUACAUUGGUGCAUUCGCAAGUUUAGUGUCAGAUCAUUAGACACUGUGAAAAGAUGGUGCUGGUGUAAUACUGUUUAUGUGCAACAUGACAUACAUACACAUAAAUCUCUAGUGUGCUUCAAUGCCAUCUAGACCUGAUGCCUGGAUAAGUGCUUUAAAGAAAGUGCAGGUUAAUGGCCAGGG